rnacentral:tRNA from 1 species
GCGGAUAUGAUGGAAUUGGUAGACAUACCAGGUUUAGGCCCUGGGGGUUUCAGCCUUGCGGGUUCAAGUCCUGCUAUCCGUA